rnacentral:rRNA from 1 species
AUUGAACGCUGGCGGCAGGCCUAACACAUGCAAGUCGAACGAGAGGCGGACGGGUGAGUAAUGUCUGGGAAACUGCCUGCUGGAGGGGGAUAACUCCUGGAAACGCUAGCUAAUACCGCAUACCAUCAGAUGUGCCCAGAUGGGAUUAGCUAGUUGGUGGGGUAAAGGCUCACCUAGGCGACGAUCCCUAGCUGGUCUGAGAGGAUGACCAGCCACACUGGAACUGAGACACGGUCCAGACUCCUACGGGAGGCAGCAGUGGGGAAUAUUGCACAAUGGGCGCAAGCCUGAUGCAGCAAUGCCGCGUGUAUGAAGAAGGCCUUCGGGUUGUAAAGCACUUUCAGCGAGGAGGCGUUACCCGCAGAAGAAGCACCGGCUAACUCCGUGCCAGCAGCCGCGGUAAUAC